rnacentral:rRNA from 1 species
GGGUCGAAUGGGGAAAUUCAUUCGCGUUUCGAUUGUCGGCGUUAAGCUGUUGCGUGACUGAUGGGGUACGCUUCGUGAGCACCUUCAGUUUUUCGAACCGACUUCGAACGCGUGCACUUUUCCCCUAGUAGGACGUCGCGAUCCGUUGGGUGUCGAUCUAAGGCCUGUGGUGGAGCUCGCGUGGACGUUUCGGCGUUCCAUACGAACCCGCAGUGACCCGAUCSACUCGCUCGACGGUAUAAAGAUGGCGCGAGGCCGCUACACAGUUAGCGUUCGGCCUACGGCAAGCACGUACGGUGUUUGAUGGCAAUCAGACCUAAUCGGAUCCCGUCCCCGGACSACUGUWGGCACGUARUGUUCUCGAACAGACCUCGUUUAAACGCCAAUCUGCGACGCUAUAGCUUUGGGUACUUUCAGGACCCGUCUUGAAACACGGA